rnacentral:rRNA from 1 species
AUUUCCGAAUGGGGAAACCCAGUGUGAUUCGUCACACUAUCAUUAACUGAAUCCAUAGGUUAAUGAGGCGAACCGGGGGAACUGAAACAUCUAAGUACCCCGAGGAAAAGAAAUCAACCGAGAUUCCCCCAGUAGCGGCGAGCGAACGGGGAGGAGCCCAGAGCCUGAAUCAGCAUGUGUGUUAGUGGAAGCGUCUGGAAAGGCGCGCGAUACAGGGUGACAGCCCCGUACACAAAAGCGCAUGUGCUGUGAGCUCGAUGAGUAGGGCGGGACACGUGGUAUCCUGUCUGAAUAUGGGGGGACCAUCCUCCAAGGCUAAAUACUCCUGACUGACCGAUAGUGAACCAGUACCGUGAGGGAAAGGCGAAAAGAACCCCGGCGAGGGGAGUGAAAAAGAACCUGAAACCGU